AUUGAACGCUGGCGGCAUGCCUUACACAUGCAAGUCGAACGGCAGCGGGGACUUCGGUCCGCCGGCGAGUGGCGAACGGGUGAGUAAUGUAUCGGAACGUACCAUUCAGUGGGGGAUAACUAUCCGAAAGGAUAGCUAAUACCGCAUAUUCUGUGAGCAGGAAAGCAGGGGAUCGCAAGACCUUGCGCUGAUUGAGCGGCCGAUAUCAGAUUAGCUAGUUGGUGAGGUAAAGGCUCACCAAGGCGACGAUCUGUAGCGGGUAUGAGAGGAUGAUCCGCCACAAUGGAAAUGAGACACGGGCCAGACUCCGACGGGAGGCAGCAGUGGGGAAUUUUGGACAAUGGGGGCAACCCUGAUCCAGCCAUGCCGCGUGAGUGAAGAAGGCCUUCGGGUUGUAAAGCUCUUUCGGCCGGGAAAAAAUCGCAUGGGUUAAUACCCUGUGUGGAUGAUGGUACCGGAAUAAGAAGCACCGGCUAACUACGUGCCAGCCGCCGCAGUAAGAC
rnacentral:rRNA from 1 species